CCAGAGAUGGAUUGGUGCCUUCGGGAACUGUGAGACAGGUGCUGCAUGGCUGUCGUCAGCUCGUGUUGUGAAAUGUUGGGUUAAGUCCCGCAACGAGCGCAACCCUUAUCCUUUGUUGCCAGCGGUUAGGCCGGGAACUCAAAGGAGACUGCCAGUGAUAAACUGGAGGAAGGUGGGGAUGACGUCAAGUCAUCAUGGCCCUUACGACCAGGGCUACACACGUGCUACAAUGGCAUAUACAAAGAGAAGCGACCU
rnacentral:rRNA from 1 species